rnacentral:rRNA from 1 species
GAUGAACGCUGGCGGCGUGCCUAAUACAUGCAAGUCGAGCGAACAGAUGAGGAACUUGCUCCUCUGACGUUAGCGGCGGACGGGUGAGUAACACGUGGAUAACCUACCUAUAAGACUGGGAUAACUUCGGGAAACCGGAGCUAAUACCGGAUAAUAUAUUGAACCGCAUGGUUCAAUAGUGAAAGACGGUUUUGCUGUCACUUAUAGAUGGAUCCGCGCCGCAUUAGCUAGUUGGUAAGGUAACGGCUUACCAAGGCAACGAUGCGUAGCCGACCUGAGAGGGUGAUCGGCCACACUGGAACUGAGACACGGUCCAGACUCCUACGGGAGGCAGCAGUAGGGAAUCUUCCGCAAUGGGCGAAAGCCUGACGGAGCAACGCCGCGUGAGUGAUGAAGGUCUUCGGAUCGUAAAACUCUGUUAUUAGGGAAGAACAAAUGUGUAAGUAACUAUGCACGUCUUGACGGUACCUAAUCAGAAAGCCACGGCUAACUACGUG